rnacentral:rRNA from 1 species
AGUAAUACAUAGGAAUCUGCCCAGUAGCGGGGGACAACUCGGAGAAAUCCGAGCUAAUACCGCAUACGCCCUACGGGGGAAAGCAGGGGAUCUUCGGACCUUGCACUAUUGGAUGAGCCUAUGUCAGAUUAGCUUGUUGGUGGGGUAACGGCCUACCAAGGCGACGAUCUGUAGCUGGUCUGAGAGGAUGAUCAGCCACACUGGAACUGAGACACGGUCCAG